rnacentral:rRNA from 1 species
CCUACGGGUGGCUGCAGUGGGGAAUAUUGCGCAAUGGGGGGAACCCUGACGCAGCAACGCCGCGUGAAGGAAGAAGGUCUUCGGAUUGUAAACUUCUUUGGCAGGGGACGAUAAAAGACGGUACCCUGAGAACAAGCCACGGCUAACUACGUGCCAGCAGCCGCGGUAAUACGUAGGUGGCGAGCGUUGUCCGGAAUUACUGGGUGUAAAGGGCGUGUAGGCGGGGAUGUAAGUCAGAUGUGAAAGCCCAAGGCUUAACUUUGGGAUUGCAUCUGAAACUAUGUUUCUUGAGUACUGUAGAGGAAAGUGGAAUUCCCAGUGUAGCGGUGAAAUGCGUAGAGAUUGGGAGGAACACCAGUGGCGAAGGCGACUUUCUGGACAGUAACUGACGCUGAGGCGCGAAAGCGUGGGGAGCAAACAGGAUUAGAUACCCCGGUAGUC